ensembl:lncRNA
GUGGUGUGACUUAGGUUCCUGUAUACCCAGUGGAACUGGAGGAUAGGCUUUUGUUAAGACUCAGAUGAAUGUAGAAGAACUGGUUUACCACUAACAAUAUGCCAACUUUUUAAAUAUUUCAGUUUGGUGAUGGACUGUAGAAUACUGUGCAGUAUUUUCAUAUACUUUUUACAUUUUUGCCAUUUAAUCAACAGGUGCCCUUCGAAGGCCCUCCGCCCAGCCCAUGCUGAGCCCUGAACAGGAACGCAUCGACUAUGACUAUGCUUCGCCUGACCCAGAAGAUGCCAGAGUGCUCAACCCUCCACCACCCUAUCAAGAGGUAGACCAGGAUCCAGUUGUACUCGACUCGCUGCAAGAUUUGGUUUCUUCUGCAGAUGAAACUGUGAAAAAACUGUGAAAAACCAGCAUCUAACAUGUACCUAUUGGAACACACACAUGUUCUCUGAUUAAUGUUCUUUUAACAGUGCCUUGUGGUACAGAAUUGACAGUUCUCCAUUGCUGUGCACAUAAGGGUCUGUGCAGUAUGUAACUGUUGUCUUUCAUGUUGUGGUUGUUGGUGUAAAUGGAUUUUUGUACUUUUAUAGGCACCUUACUAACCAAAUAAUGUCAACACACUGAGGAAGCAUAACCUUGGACAUGGAAUCUUUGUGUAUGUGUCCAGUGUGUAAUAAAUGAGACUGUUGCAUUGAAAUCAUCUUUUAAAACUCCAACCAUGUUUCCUAAUGUAUAAUACAACUUGGGAUGACAUCAGUAAGCUUUGGCUAGAGAGCAGAAAUUCACAGAGUUUAUUUGGGGACUAAGGAUCGCAGAUGUUGUUAUAAGGAUCCGGGGAAAUAGAAAGGAUCCCUAGAGAGAAACAUCUGUGUCUGUUUAUCUCAAGAACUGUAAAGAAACAGUAGAAAAACACUGUGAUCAGGUUUACUCAUAGGAUUCCAUUGUAUAGCCAUUUUGCUGUUCUAGGGUUCUAGCUAAAUACUGGACCGGUUUCGAUCGUUAAUUGUCCUUAGUAAAAGUUCAGACCCAAAAAGAUUUGUAAAAGGAUCCCAAAGUUUCCCUUCAGGUCCACAGAGACCCCAAGACUUCAGGCAGAUAGAUGGAUAGGAACAGAUGGAGGAGUCGAAUGGAAUCUGUUUCCUGUCUUGCAUCAUCAUUGCUUAGAUUAUCUUAGCCUUUUUGGACUUGAAACGUGUCGCUGCUGCACUUUCUUUUUUUUGCUGUAAUCAAUGCACUGUUUUGUAAUUUUGGAUUUAUUGCUGUACAUAAAAAAUGUCUAUUAACUGUACUGUCAAAUUUGCUAUGCUAAAAGAGACAGCUUUCAGAACUCUGUAUUAAGCUUACUGUGUGUAUUGUAGCAUUAUGUGUGUUGAGCCAUUGAAAUGUGAUUUUUAUGCUUUUUCUUUAGGUAUUUCUAUUUCUAUUUCAUAUGAAUAUGUUCUGUGUUCUGAUGAACAUGAUUUACUUACUAAACCAAAAUACUCUUUAAGAACUAAAAAUAAAGACAAUUAACACAU